GACGAACGCUGGCGGCGUGCUUAACACAUGCAAGUCGAACGGAAAGGCCCUGCUCUUGUGGGGCGCUCGAGUGGCGAACGGGUGAGUAACACGUGAGUAACCUGCCCCUGACUUUGGGAUAACUUCAGGAAACUGGGGCUAAUAUCGGAUAGGAGCUCCUGCUGCAUGGUGGUGGUUGGAAAGAUUCGGCGGUUGGGGAUGGACUCGCGGCUUACCAGCCUGUUGGUGGGGUAGUGGCUUACCAAGGCUUUGACGGGUAGCCGGCCUGAGAGGGUGACCGGCGACAUUGGGACUGAGGUACGGCCCAGACUCGUACGGGAGGCAGCGGUGGAGAGUAUUGCGCAAUGGGCGGGAGCGUGAUGCGACGGCGCCGCGUGCGGAAUGACGGCCUUCGAGUUGUAAACCGCUUUCGCCUGUGACGAAGCGUGAGUGACGGUAAUGGGUAAAGAAGCAACGGCUAACUACGUG
rnacentral:rRNA from 1 species